rnacentral:rRNA from 1 species
UAGGUUGAGCCUACGUCGGAUUAGCUAGUUGGUGGGGUAAAGGCCUACCAAAGCGACGAUCCGUAGCUGGUCUGAGAGGAUGACCAGCCACACUGGGACUGAGACACGGCCCAGACUCCUACGGGAGGCAGCAGUGGGGAAUCUUGGACAAUGGGGGAAACCCUGAUCCAGCGAUACCGCGUGUGUGAAGAAGGCCUUCGGGUUGUAAAGCACUUUAG